rnacentral:rRNA from 1 species
UAGGGAAUCUUCCGCAAUGGACGCAAGUCUGACGGAGCAACGCCGCGUGCGUGAAGAAGGAUUUCGGUUCGUAAAACUCUGUUGUUAGAGAAGAACAGCGCACAGAGUAACUGUUAUGCGUGUGACGGUAUCUAACCAGAAAGCCACGGCUAACUACGUGCCAGCAGCCGCGGUAAUACGUAGGUGGCAAGCGUUGUCCGGAUUUAUUGGGCGUAAAGCGAGCGCAGGCGGUCAAUUAAGUCUGAUGUGAAAGCCCCCGGCUCAACCGGGGAGGGUCAUUGGAAACUGGUUGGCUUGAGUGCAGAAGAGGAGAGUGGAAUUCCAUGUGUAGCGGUGAAAUGCGUAGAUAUAUGGAGGAACACCAGUGGCGAAGGCGACUCUCUGGACUGUAACUGACGCUGAGGCACGAAAGCGUGGGUAGCAAACAGG